rnacentral:tRNA from 2 species
GCGGGAAUGGCGAAAUUGGCAGACGCGCUGGAUUUAGGUUCCAGUGCCGCGAGGCGUGGGGGUUCAAGUCCUCUUUCCCGCA